rnacentral:ribozyme from 14 species
UUUUGCUUUUAUUUGUGUAAGUCUCUUUCUCAAAUUAUUUUCUCGUUUUUGGUGAACUUGUUAUUGAAACGGUGUGGAUGUUCAGUGACAAAGAAAGGCAGACAGAAUUC